rnacentral:rRNA from 1 species
AUACGGAGGGUCCGAGCGUUAAUCGGAAUUACUGGGCGUAAAGCGCGCGUAGGUGGAUGUAUAAGUCAGAUGUGAAAGCCCUGGGCUCAACCUAGGAACUGCAUUUGAAACUGUACGUCUAGAGUAUGGUAGAGGUGAGUGGAAUUUCAGGUGUAGCGGUGAAAUGCGUAGAGAUCUGAAGGAACAUCAGUGGCGAAGGCGACUCACUGGGCCAUUACUGACACUGAGGUGCGAAAGCGUGGGUAGCAAACAGGAUUAGAAGCCCUAGUAGUCC